GAUGAACGCUGGCGGCGUGCCUAAUACAUGCAAGUCGAACGAAACUUCUUUAUCACCGAGUGCUUGCACUCACCGAUAAAGAGUUGAGUGGCGAACGGGUGAGUAACACGUGGGCAACCUGCCCAAAAGAGGGGGAUAACACUUGGAAACAGGUGCUAAUACCGCAUAACCAUAGUUACCGCAUGGUAACUAUGUAAAAGGUGGCUAUACUACCGCUUUUGGAUGGGCCCGCGGCGCAUUAGCUAGUUGGUAGGGUAAAGGCUUACCAAGGCAAUGAUGCGUAGCCGAAUUGAGAGGUUGAUCGGCCACAUUGGGACUGAGACACGGCCCAAACUCCUACGGGAGGCAGCAGUAGGGAAUCUUCCACAAUGGGCGAAAGCCUGAUGGAGCCACGCCGCGUGGGUGAAGAAGGUCUUCGGAUCGUAAAACCCUGUUGUUAGGGAAGAAAGUGCGUGAGAGUAACUGUUCACGUUUCGACGGUAUCUAACCAGAAAGCCACGGCUAACUACGUG
rnacentral:rRNA from 1 species